rnacentral:rRNA from 1 species
AAAUUAAGCCAUAGAAGGUUAUAGCCCUGUAAACUUUAAAUUAUUUUUUUUGUAGUAAAAAAGAACCCGUGACAUUCUUUUUGAAUAUUGGAGGACCAUACUUCAAACCCUAAAUAUCUUUAUAUAACCAAUAGCGAACUAGUACUGUGAAGGAAAGAUGAAAAGAACCCUAUAGCUGGGAGUGAAAAGAUUCUGAAACCUGAUAUUUAC